rnacentral:rRNA from 1 species
CCUACGGGUGGCAGCAGUGAGGAAUAUUGGUCAAUGGGCUAAGGCCUGAACCAGCCAAGCCGCGUGAGGGAAGACGGUCCUAUGGAUUGUAAACUUCUUUUGUCGGGGAGCAACGAGUCCACGUGUGGCCUUAGUGAGAGUACCCGAAGAAAAAGCAUCGGCGAACUCCGUGCCAGCAGCCGCGGUAAUACGGAGGAUGCGAGCGUUAUCGGGAUUGAUUGGGGUUAAAGGGUGCGUAGGCGGAACAUUAAGUCAGUGGUAAAAUCGAGGGGCUCAACCCCUUUGAGCCGUUGAAUCUGGUGAUCUUGAGUGGGCGAGAGGUAUGCGGAAUGCGAGGUGUAGCGGUGAAAUGCGUAGAUAUCACGCAGAACUCCGAUUGCGAAGGCAGCAUCCCGGCGGCGGACUGACGCUGAGGCACGAAAGCGUGGGGAUCGAACAGGAUUAGAUACCCCGGUAGUC